AGAACGAACGCUGGCGGCAUGCCUAACACAUGCAAGUCGAACGAGACCUUCGGGUCUAGUGGCGCACGGGUGCGUAACGCGUGGGAACCUGCCUUUAGGUUCGGAAUAACUCUCCGAAAGGGGUGCUAAUACCGAAUAAUGUCUUCGGACCAAAGAUUUAUCGCCUUUAGAUGGGCCCGCGUUGGAUUAGCUAGUUGGUGGGGUAAAGGCCUACCAAGGCGACGAUCCAUAGCUGGUCUUAGAGGAUGAUCAGCCACACUGGGACUGAGACACGGCCCAGACUCCUACGGGAGGCAGCAGUGGGGAAUAUUGGACAAUGGGCGAAAGCCUGAUCCAGCAAUGCCGCGUGAGUGAUGAAGGCCUUAGGGUUGUAAAGCUCUUUUACCCGGGAUGAUAAUGACAGUACCGGGAGAAUAAGCUCCGGCUAACUCCGUGCCAGCAGCCGC
rnacentral:rRNA from 1 species